rnacentral:rRNA from 1 species
UUAAGUUAUUAAGGGCGCACGGUGGAUGCCUUGGCACUAGAAGCCGAUGAAGGACGUUACUAACGACGAUAUGCUUUGGGGAGCUGUAAGUAAGCUUUGAUCCAGAGAUUUCCGAAUGGGGAAACCCAGCAUGAGUUAUGUCAUGUUAUCGAUAUGUGAAUACAUAGCAUAUCAGAAGGCACACCCGGAGAACUGAAACAUCUUAGUACCCGGAGGAAGAGAAAGAAAAUUCGAUUCCCUUAGUAGCGGCGAGCGAAACGGGAAGAGCCCAAACCAACAAGCUUGCUUGUUGGGGUUGUAGGACACUCUAUACGGAGUUACAAAGGACGACAUUAGACGAAUCAUCUGGAAAGAUGAAUCAAAGAAGGUAAUAAUCCUGUAGUCGAAAAUGUUGUCUCUCUUGAGUGGAUCCUGAGUACGACGGAGCACGUGAAAUUCCGUCGGAAUCUGGGAGGACCAUCUCCUAAGGCUAAAUACUCUCUAGUGACCGAUAGUGAACCAGUACCGUGAGGGAAAGGUGAAAAGCACCCCGGAAGGGGAGUGAAAUAGAACCUGAAACCGUGUGCUUACAAGUAGUCAGAGCCCGUUAAUGGGUGAUGGCGUGCCUUUUGUAGAAUGAACCGGCGAGUUACGAUUUGAUGCAAGGUUAAGCAGUAAAUGUGGAGCCGUAGCGAAAGCGAGUCUGAAUAGGGCGUUUAGUAUUUGGUCGUAGACCCGAAACCAGGUGAUCUACCCUUGGUCAGGUUGAAGUUCAGGUAACACUGAAUGGAGGACCGAACCGACUUACGUUGAAAAGUGAGCGGAUGAACUGAGGGUAGCGGAGAAAUUCCAAUCGAACCUGGAGAUAGCUGGUUCUCUCCGAAAUAGCUUUAGGGCUAGCCUCAAGUGAUGAUUAUUGGAGGUAGAGCACUGUUUGGACGAGGGGCCCCUCUCGGGUUACCGAAUUCAGACAAACUCCGAAUGCCAAUUAAUUUAACUUGGGAGUCAGAACAUGGGUGAUAAGGUCCGUGUUCGAAAGGGAAACAGCCCAGACCACCAGCUAAGGUCCCAAAAUAUAUGUUAAGUGGAAAAGGAUGUGGCGUUGCCCAGACAACUAGGAUGUUGGCUUAGAAGCAGCCAUCAUUUAAAGAGUGCGUAAUAGCUCACUAGUCGAGUGACACUGCGCCGAAAAUGUACCGGGGCUAAACAUAUUACCGAAGCUGUGGAUUGUCCUUUGGACAAUGGUAGGAGAGCGUUCUAAGGGCGUUGAAGCAUGAUCGUAAGGACAUGUGGAGCGCUUAGAAGUGAGAAUGCCGGUGUGAGUAGCGAAAGACGGGUGAGAAUCCCGUCCACCGAUUGACUAAGGUUUCCAGAGGAAGGCUCGUCCGCUCUGGGUUAGUCGGGUCCUAAGCUGAGGCCGACAGGCGUAGGCGAUGGAUAACAGGUUGAUAUUCCUGUACCACCUAUAAUCGUUUUAAUCGAUGGGGGGGACGCAGUAGGAUAGGCGAAGCGUGCGAUUGGAUUGCACGUCUAAGCAGUAAGGCUGAGUAUUAGGCAAAUCCGGUACUCAUUAAGGCUGAGCUGUGAUGGGGAGAAGACAUUGUGUCUUCGAGUCGUUGAUUUCACACUGCCGAGAAAAGCCUCUAGAUAGAAAAUAGGUGCCCGUACCGCAAACCGACACAGGUAGUCAAGAUGAGAAUUCUAAGGUGAGCGAGCGAACUCUCGUUAAGGAACUCGGCAAAAUGACCCCGUAACUUCGGGAGAAGGGGUGCUCUUUAGGGUUAACGCCCAGAAGAGCCGCAGUGAAUAGGCCCAAGCGACUGUUUAUCAAAAACACAGGUCUCUGCUAAACCGUAAGGUGAUGUAUAGGGGCUGACGCCUGCCCGGUGCUGGAAGGUUAAGAGGAGUGGUUAGCUUCUGCGAAGCUACGAAUCGAAGCCCCAGUAAACGGCGGCCGUAACUAUAACGGUCCUAAGGUAGCGAAAUUCCUUGUCGGGUAAGUUCCGACCCGCACGAAAGGCGUAACGAUUUGGGCACUGUCUCAACGAGAGACUCGGUGAAAUCAUAGUACCUGUGAAGAUGCAGGUUACCCGCGACAGGACGGAAAGACCCCGUGGAGCUUUACUGUAGCCUGAUAUUGAAAUUCGGCACAGCUUGUACAGGAUAGGUAGGAGCCUUUGAAACGUGAGCGCUAGCUUACGUGGAGGCGCUGGUGGGAUACUACCCUAGCUGUGUUGGCUUUCUAACCCGCACCACUUAUCGUGGUGGGAGACAGUGUCAGGCGGGCAGUUUGACUGGGGCGGUCGCCUCCUAAAAGGUAACGGAGGCGCUCAAAGGUUCCCUCAGAAUGGUUGGAAAUCAUUCAUAGAGUGUAAAGGCAUAAGGGAGCUUGACUGCGAGACCUACAAGUCGAGCAGGGUCGAAAGACGGACUUAGUGAUCCGGUGGUUCCGCAUGUAAGGGCCAUCGCUCAACGGAUAAAAGCUACCCCGGGGAUAACAGGCUUAUCUCCCCCAAGAGUUCACAUCGACGGGGAGGUUUGGCACCUCGAUGUCGGCUCAUCGCAUCCUGGGGCUGUAGUCGGUCCCAAGGGUUGGGCUGUUCGCCCAUUAAAGCGGUACGCGAGCUGGGUUCAGAACGUCGUGAGACAGUUCGGUCCCUAUCCGUCGUGGGCGUAGGAAAUUUGAGAGGAGCUGUCCUUAGUACGAGAGGACCGGGAUGGACAUACCUCUGGUGUACCAGUUGUCGUGCCAACGGCAUAGCUGGGUAGCUAUGUGUGGACGGGAUAAGUGCUGAAAGCAUCUAAGCAUGAAGCCCCCCUCAAGAUGAGAUUUCCCAACUUCGGUUAUAAGAUCCCUCAAAGAUGAUGAGGUUAAUAGGUUCGAGGUGGAAGCAUGGUGACAUGUGGAGCUGACGAAUACUAAUCGAUCGAAGACUUAAUCAA